rnacentral:lncRNA from 1 species
UCGUUACUAUGGUAAUUUCCAUUGCACCUUAAUUUAUGUUUCUCUCACCUUUCAAUUUCUUUCACAAGCUCAUAAGUGUAUUACUAUAUUAUUCAAGUAUUUUUACCUUCGUUCGCCCAUGGAAGAUAUUGAGAACACCAAUGUCAUUGCAUAAUAACAAUUAGUUCCUCUCAUAAGUAAACACAAUAUAUUAUUACGUACGUAGAUUAAUUAUUUCUUCUACUUCUACACCUAGCAAAAGAUUUUUGACUGAUAUAAACUUCAUAGAUGUUAGUAUAGUAUUUAAAGCAUAUAUGAAAAUGUUCUUAAGGCUUAAUUCAACUGAUAAUAUCGCAAUAGUUAUGCGGGAAAUUUUUCGUUGUUACUUGAGUUUGUGUGACCCUCGUUAUCCUGCAUUAUUAGAUAAACAUGAAUAGUAAGAAACAAAAUAUGAAUCUUUUAUUUACUGCAACUUUAGCAUAAACUUGUAACGAGUAUCAGUUCAAAUUUUCUUAAACUUCUAAUUAUAAAAUACUCUAAAACCUUGUGUUACUUGAUCAGAGUCUAAAAAUUUGGAUGGUGAAUAGUGUUUUCAAAGGGUUUUCCUGUUUACUGCGUAUAAUUUUGCACGUACAUUUCCUGCAAACAUAUACGCAGAUAAUGUUAGGAAAUAUAAGGGCUGAAGAAGAAAAAUAAGCGCAAUCACUACACAAGAAUGUAAUGUGAAAACUUCAAAAUCAGAGAAAAAACAACGAUCGUUGUCUAAACCGACAACCAGAGAGUUAUUACUAUGUGAAUUUUUUUGCAAUGCAUAGACUUCUCUCACUCUCACCCUAAUGCCCCAGUAUAACCACACCCUCACAAAACAAAUAUUUAAACUAAGUUAGAUAUAAGUUUAAAAUGCUACUGACUGUUGCAGUUAAAUAUUUAAAGAACCUAGGUUCAAUAUAUAGCAUUGAUCUUCCCCUCGCUUCACCAAACUAACCGAUGUGGGAUUUCUCCAAUAACUAAUAUUUUUUCACCUCCUUCUUUAUUCAAGAAACUUGACAAUCAAACCCAACAAGUAAUUCCACAACAAAUGCUGCAGGAAAGCCGGUAUGAAAAAAGUUUUCGCAGAUAAAACUUCAAGUAAUUAUAUCUUUCCAAAUGAAAUGUAUAUUUUUGGAACAUAUUAUUUUUUCUUUCAACAAAUGCAAAAACGCAAAUUAAAAAUGAUCAUUUUUACUUAUUUGUUUGACAAAAAAGUUCUUUUUUUCUAAAGUACAUUGUGAUAUUUAUGUUAAAGUAUAUUAUAAUAUUUAGAAAUUAUAAUCAAUAUUAAUAAUAAAAAAUGCAUCUUUGUUGGUGUUAAAUAUUGUAUCUCUUGUUCCUCUAAGAAGCAGCCAAUUUUUGCUACAUCGAGUAGAUCAAAGUAUUUGAUGUGGUACUUAAGCCAUGAGGUUCUCAUAUCUAUUGGACUAGUCUUUUGGGUUGGGCUCUCCUCAUGGGCUUAAGUCCUAACACAUUCCUACAUCGUCCCAACUUGCUUAGAGUGUUACUUUUCCCAUCCUACUGUCUUCUCACGCACCCUGCAAAAUUCCAAAAAUACCCCUGUUAGUGCUUUCCGGAUUUUAAAAUCCGGACAAAAUCGAUAUGACAAGGGUCUGCUCUUUUCUUCAAUAUGACGCCUUUUCUCUUCCAAUUUCUCCCCCAUCUUCUUCCUCAAAACAAAUACCUCUGUUUGUCAUUCUCUAACAAAGGCUUUGUAAGAUCUUCCAAACUGUUGCUACUCUUUAGUGUUGCUAUACCAGAGGAACUUACUGGUGGUACUAAAGAAUCUGAUGGUGUACUAGUUGGUGCUUGAGUAGAUUCAACACUCUUAGGUUUUUGUUGUUUGUUAGCUGGACCAUAACUUGAGGUGCUUGCACUAGCUUCCGACCUAGCUUUUGCUCCACUAGAAGAUUGAUUAUUGGUAUUAAUCGAAGUGGAAGUCUCAUUCCUAUUUUUUGGAUUCAUCCAUAUGAAGGAAUUUGUCGAUUUCAAUUUUCAAUGGAUGGAUUUGGAUUACAUAAUUUGAAUGUUUUUACACAUUCCGGAUUAUAUAAUCCGAAAUAUGUAAAUCACCCCGUUGAAAGUCAACAAAUAGGAUGAAAAAUGAUGUUUCUGGAUUACAUAAUCCGAAAUGCGUUAAAACAAUUCAGAUUUUAUAAUCCGGAAUGUGAUUAUAUGGAGGAUUUCUCUAGUAUGACCAAUAUAUUUUUUUUCCAGAAACAAGCUUUGAAUUGCAUAAAAAAUGGCUGGGAAUAUUUUGUUUGGAAGAAUAAAUCCUUGGAACCUGGUGUUGGAGUACUUAUUUCUCUACAUGACAAUGCUCAAAGUAUGAAGUUGACAUAUCCAAAACUCUUGUGAUGAAUGAGAAAAGUAAAGUUUCAAUACUCACUUCAAAGCAUUAGAAUCAUG